rnacentral:rRNA from 1 species
GCGAGAACACGCGGAUAAUCUGCCCUAGGGUGGGGAAUAAGCUCGGGAAACUGAGUAUAAUACCCCAUAGGUUUCGGAUACUGGAAUGUACUGAAACUCAAAGCUACGGCGCCUUAGGAUGAGUCUGCGGCCUAUCAGCCUGAAGUUGGUGUAACGGACCAACUUAGCUUCGACGGGUACGGGCCUUGGGAGAGGUCGCCCGGAGAUGGAUUCUGAGACACGAAUCCAGGCCCCACGGGGCGCAGCAGGCGCGAAAACUUCGCAAUGCGGGAAACCGCGACGAGGGGAUCCCAAGUGCUAGUACAUUGUACUAGCUGUUUUCCUGACUAAAUAUCAGGGAGAGUAAGGGCUGGGUAAGACUGGUGCCAGCCGCCGCGGUAAUACCAGCAGCCCUAGUGGUGAUCGUUGUUAUUGGGCCUAAAACGUCCGUAGCCGGCUUAGUAAAUUCUUGGGUAAAUCGGGGGGCUUAACCUUCCGAAUUCCGAGGAGACUGCUAGGCUUGGGACCGGGGGAGGUCAGAGGUACUUCGGGGGUAGGGGUGAAAUCCUGUAAUCCUCGAGGGACCACCAGUGGCGAAGGCGUCUGACUAAAACGGAUUCGACGGUAAGGGACGAAGCCUUGGGGCGCAAACGGGAUUAGAUACCCCGGUAGUCCAGGGUGU